UACGAAGGGGGCUAGCGUUGUUCGGAAUUACUGGGCGUAAAGCGUGCGUAGGCGGCUUCUCAAGUCAGGGGUGAAAGCCCAGAGCUCAACUCUGGAAUUGCCUUUGAGACUGAGUGGCUUGAGUACGAGAGAGGUGAGUGGAAUUCCCAGUGUAGAGGUGAAAUUCGUAGAUAUUGGGAAGAACACCGGUGGCGAAGGCGGCUCACUGGCUCGUAACUGACGCUCAUGCACGACAGCGUGGGGAGCAAACAGG
rnacentral:rRNA from 1 species